CUUCAGGCAAGAGAAGACGCUUUUUUUUUUUUUAAACAAGUGGUGAUCGUUGCUCGUGACAGAAUCAAAUUUUUUAGUUCUCCCUCGCUCACCCCGCCGCAGGAAAGGAGCAGGAGGUACGGGAGGAAAAGGAGUGAAUGUGUGGGUGAAGUGUACUGCAGAGGAGAACGUGUUUAACGGGCAGUGGGGAGUGCACUACGGGGAAUGGCGAGGCGUGGUGAGUGGUGAUGCUGUGAAGCCUUCAACACACCUUCGGGAGUGAGGGGAUUAAGGAGGCGGACAAGAAUUAUUACAGUUCAUCAACAGGGCUUUGGAUGUGUGCAGAACAAACCGAGCAAGUCCCAAGUCACGUUCAUCUGUAAUCCGCCGUGAGGAGCGUCAUGUUGGCUGUCAUGUCUGGCGUCAAGAGGGAACGUCCCCCCACGGCCC